UCCCUUGAACGUGAACAUUAGUUGUUCGAAAUGGACGAGUUCAUAGCAGUACUUACAGAAACAAUCAAUCAAUCGUAUACUUUGCCCUUUACUAUUCCUAAACUUCCAUACCCAUUUAAUUUCUCACUCACAACAGUGGAUUAUUCGGUACCAACACCUCAUGAUAACGAAAUUAGCAACUUAUUCCCAACUUCAACGAUAUCUUCCAUCGAAAGCACAAGAAAAUCGACAAAACCAACAUCAUCACUUAAAUCUACUAAAGGAACAUCAGUAAAAUCAACAACCAAAUCCGUAAAGUCGACUGCAUCAACAAUAAAGUCUACAACAACCAAAUCUACGUUAAAGUCCACCACAGGAAAAUCGACAAAACCAACAUCAUCGCUUAUAUCUACUAAAGGAACAUCAGAAAAAUCAACAACCAAAUCCGUAGAAUCGACUGCAUCAACAAUAAAGUCUACAACAACCAAAAUCUACGUUAAAGUCCACCACAGAAAAAUCGACAAAACCAACAUCAUCGCAUAUAUCGUCUAAAAGAACAUCAGCAAUAUCAAAAACCCAACCCCAAAAGUCUACAACAAUCAAAUCUACGUUAAAGCCCACCACAGAAGCGUCCGCUUCAAAAAAAAAAUCUGCAUCAAUCAAAUCUACGUUAAAAUCUACCACAGGAACACCUGCGAAGUCUACAACUAAACAAUCUGCAAUAAAAACAACGCUGAAAUCUACAACUGCUACAAAAAAGACAGCAACAAUUAAAUCGACUCUGCAAUCUAAACCUCAAACGUCACAAAUGAAACCAAAAGCAACUACUGUUGUCCAAAAAUUAACGCAAUCCAAAAAGGGUAAAAAAAAGGUUACACUACCGUACUACCCAGAACAUACGAAUCUUCCCACACCGCCAAAGCCAGCGGUCCCCCCCACAAUUCAGAAGAGCAGGAUUAAGGCUAUCGUCAGUAACUUUGUGGGGAAAGCAAAAAAAAACCGGGUUGCAAGAAGUUGCUUUGAAACAGCGUUAAACGGGGCCCUAACCGUAAUUGUAGCAUUUCGUGAAGCUUUUGCGAACUGCUAUCUCAGAGAAGACAUUGAUCCUGUGUUGGUAAUACUAAAAAUAUGCUCGCGAAUAAUCACAAAGGCCCUACUGUCAUGUCGCUCUCUCUUCGGACCCAUGGUAAAACUUCAAUGCGCGGGUAUAUUGUUCGUAGCUCUUGCUGAUCUAAUAAAAGAGAUGGUGGAAGUAGCUCCAACACUCAGUAGUCGAG